GAGUUUGAUCAUGGCUCAGAUUGAACGCUGGCGGCAGGCCUAACACAUGCAAGUCGAGCGGUAACAGGAGAAAGCUUGCUUUCUUGCUGACGAGCGGCGGACGGGUGAGUAAUGUAUGGGGAUCUGCCCGAUAGAGGGGGAUAACUACUGGAAACGGUGGCUAAUACCGCAUAAUGUCUACGGACCAAAGCAGGGGCUCUUCGGACCUUGCACUAUCGGAUGAACCCAUAUGGGAUUAGCUAGUAGGUGGGGUAAAGGCUCACCUAGGCGACGAUCUCUAGCUGGUCUGAGAGGAUGAUCAGCCACACUGGGACUGAGACACGGCCCAGACUCCUACGGGAGGCAGCAGUGGGGAAUAUUGCACAAUGGGCGCAAGCCUGAUGCAGCCAUGCCGCGUGUAUGAAGAAGGCCUUAGGGUUGUAAAGUACUUUCAGCGGGGAGGAA
rnacentral:rRNA from 1 species